UACGGAGGAUGCAAGCGUUAUCCGGAAUCAUUGGGCGUAAAGCGUCCGUAGGUGGCUGUUCAAGUCUGCGGUCAAAGCACAAGGCUUAACCUUAUAAAGGCCGUGGAAACUGAAGAGGCUAGAGUGCGGUAGGGGUAGAGGGAAUUCCCAGUGUAGCGGUGAAAUGCGUAGAGAUUGGGAAGAACACCGGUGGCGAAAGCGCUCUACUGGGCCUGCACUGACACUGAGGGACGAAAGCUAGGGGAGCGAAAGGG
rnacentral:rRNA from 1 species